rnacentral:rRNA from 2 species
AGUGGUGGAAUCCGCUUUCAAAAAUCCGAUAGAACUCCAUAGUUUAGCAUAUUUGGGCGAGAAUAGUACUAGGAUGGGUUACCUCAUGGGAAGUCAUCAUGUUUCACCUCUU